AGAGUUUGAUCAUGGCUCAGGAUGAACGCUAGCGGCAGGCUUAACACAUGCAAGUCGAGGGGUAUAGUUCUUCGGAGCUAGAGACCGGCGCACGGGUGCGUAACGCGUAUGCAAUCUACCUUUUACAGAGGGAUAGCCCAGAGAAAUUUGGAUUAAUACCUCAUAGUAUGUGAGAAUCGCAUGGUUUUCACAUUAAAGUUCCAACGGUAAAAGAUGAGCAUGCGUCCCAUUAGCUUGUUGGUAAGGUAACGGCUUACCAAGGCAACGAUGGGUAGGGGUCCUGAGAGGGAGAUCCCCCACACUGGUACUGAGACACGGACCAGACUCCUACGGGAGGCAGCAGUGAGGAAUAUUGGACAAUGGGCGCAAGCCUGAUCCGGCCAUGCCGCGUGCAGGAUGACGGUCCUAUGGAUUGUAAACUGCUUUUGUACAGGAAGAAACACUCCCUCGUGAGGGAGCUUGACGGUACUGUAAGAAUAAGGAUCGGCUAACUCCGUGCCAGCAGCCGCGGUAAUACGGAGGAUCCAAGCGUUAUCCGGAAUCAUUGGGUUUAAAGGGUCCGUAGGCGGUUUAAUAAGUCAGUGGUGAAAGCCCAUCGCUCAACGGUGGAACGGCCAUUGAUACU
rnacentral:rRNA from 1 species